rnacentral:pre_miRNA from 1 species
AAUAAAGUGGGGCAUGAUUCGAUGCUGAAGGCAAUGCAUUAAGAACUGAUGGCGACUCAUUUGAUCCAAUCAGUUCCUGAUGCAGUAUCUACAACAGCAAAAUUU